rnacentral:rRNA from 1 species
GACGAACGCUGGCGGCGUGCUUAACACAUGCAAGUCGAACGGAAAGGCCCUGCUUUUGUGGUGUGCUCGAGUGGCGAACGUGUGAGUAACACGUGAGUAACCUGCCCUUGACUUUGGUAUAACUUCAGGAAACUGUGGCUUAUACCGGAUAGGAGCUCCUUCUUCAUGGUGUGGGUUGGAAUUUUUCGGCGGUUGUGGAUGGACUCGCGGCUUACUAGCUUGUUGGUGGGUUAUUGGCUUACAAAGGCUUUGACGGGUAGCCGGCCUGGGAGGGUGACCGGCAAAAUGGGGACUGAGAUACGGCCAAGACUCCUAGGGGAGGAAGAGGUGGGGAAUAUUGAAAAAUGGGCGGAAGCCUGAUGCAGCAACGCCGCGUGCGGGAUGACGGCCUUCGGGUUGUAAACCGCUUUCGCCUGUGACGAAGCGUGAGUGACGGUAAUGGGUAAAGAAGCACCGGCUAACUACGUG